rnacentral:rRNA from 1 species
AACGCUGCCGGCGUGCCUAAUACAUGCAAGUCGAACGCAUUGUGGUUGAAAUGAUAUGAAGAACUUGUUCAGAUUUGAUUUUCAACAUUGCAAUGAGUGGCGAACGGGUGAGUAACACGUGGGAAACCUACCUCUUAGCAGGGGAUAACAUUUGGAAACAAAUGCUAAUACCGUAUAAUAAUUAAAACCGCAUGGUUUUAGUUUAAAAGAUGGUCUUGCUAUCACUAAGAGAUGGUCCCGCGGUGUAUUAGUUAGUUGGUGAGGUAAUGGCUCACCAAGACAAUGAUACAUAGCCGAGUUGAGAGACUGACCGGCCACAAUGGGACUGAGACACGGCCCAUACUCCUACGGGAGGCAGCAGUAGGGAAUCUUCCACAAUGGACGAAAGUCUGAUGGAGCAACGCCGCGUGUGUGAUGAAGGGUUUCGGCUCGUAAAACACUGUUGUAAGAGAAGAAUGACAUUGAGAGUAACUGUUCAAUGUGUGACGGUAUCUUACCAGAAAGGAACGGCUAAAUACGUGCCAGCAGCCGCGGUAAUACGUAUGUUCCAAGCGUUAUCCGGAUUUAUUGGGCGUAAAGCGAGCGCAGACGGUUAUUUAAGUCUGAAGUGAAAGCCCUCGGCUCAACCGAGGAAUUGCUUUGGAAACUGGAUAACUUGAGUGCAGUAGAGGAAAGUGGAACUCCAUGUGUAGCGGUGAAAUGCGUAGAUAUAUGGAAGAACAC